GUCUUCGUAGCUCAGUUGGAUAGAGCGCUCGCCUCCUAAGCGAGAGGCCGGAGGUUCGAAUCCUCUCGGGGACG
rfam:Lachnobacterium bovis strain S1b genome assembly, contig: IE07DRAFT_scaffold00024.24